CCAUCAUUUGUCACCCUCUCAUGCUCAUAGAUGGAGUGUGUGUGGCUCAUCAAUCCCUGCUCUUCUGUUUGAUAUUCAGUGUGCCAUUUACUCAGAAUGGUGAGCUGUGGGCAGGUCUUAUCUAAACCCCGCCCCUCACUCCUGCUGCUGAGGUGGCUGUGGAGAGUUCUGGGAAAAACAACAAAGGCAAUAGAGGAAAAAGAGAGGGGGGAGGGCGG
ensembl:lncRNA